GCCGGGUGCCGACUCCUGUAUAGCGACCUGAAACCUCUGGGUUCUGAGAUGGGGUGUCUGGGGUCUUGCUUCAAACCCGGGGUCUCUGGGU
ensembl:miRNA